UACGUAGGGCGCGAGCGUUGUCCGGAAUUAUUGGGCGUAAAGAGCUUGUAGGCGGCUUGUCGCGUCUGCUGUGAAAAUCCGGGGCUCAACCCCGGACUUGCAGUGGGUACGGGCAGACUAGAGUGUGGUAGGGGAGACUGGAAUUCCUGGUGUAGCGGUGAAAUGCGCAGAUAUCGGGAGGAACACCGAUGGCGAAGGCAGGUCUCUGGGCCACUACUGACGCUGAGAAGCGAAAGCAUGGGGAGCGAACAGG
rnacentral:rRNA from 1 species